AUUGAACGCUGGCGGCAGGCCUAACACAUGCAAGUCGAGCGGAGCGGCGGACGGGUGAGGAAGGCCUAGGAAUCUGCCUGGUAGUGGGGGAUAACGUCCGGAAACGGGCGCGAAUACUGCAUACUAUCAGAUGAGCCUAGGUCGGAUUAGCGAGUUGGUGGGGGAAAGGCCUACCAAGGCGACGAUCCGUAACUGGUCUGAGAGGAUGAUCAGUCACACUGGAACUUAGACACGGUCCAGACUCCUACGGGAGGCAGCAGUGGGGAAUAUUGGACAAUGGGCGAAAGCCUGAUCCAGCCAUGCCGCGUGUGUGAAGAAGGUCUUCGGGUUGUAAAGCACUUUAAGCUGGGAGGCGUUACCAGCAGAAUAAGCACCGGCUAACUUCGUGCCAGCAGCCGCGGUAAUUC
rnacentral:rRNA from 1 species